rnacentral:rRNA from 1 species
UACGAAGGGGGCUAGCGUUGUUCGGAAUUACUGGGCGUAAAGGGCGCGUAGGCGGCGUGUCAAGUCAGGCGUGAAAGCUCCGGGCUCAACCUGGGAACCGCGCUUGAGACUGGCAUGCUCGAGUUCGGGAGAGGAUGGUGGAAUUCCCAGUGUAGAGGUGAAAUUCGUAGAUAUUGGGAAGAACACCGAUGGCGAAGGCAGCCCAUCUGGACCGACACUGACGCUGAGGCGCGAAAGCGUGGGGGAGCAAACAGG